rnacentral:rRNA from 1 species
GAUGAACGCUGGCGGCGUGCCUAAUACAUGCAAGUCGAGCGAACAGAUGAGGAGCUUGCUCCUCUGACGUUAGCGGCGGACGGGUGAGUAACACGUGGAUAACCUACCUAUAAGACUGGGAUAACUUCGGGAAACCGGAGCUAAUACCGGAUAAUAUAUUGAACCGCAUGGUUCAAUAGUGAAAGACGGUUUUGCUGUCACUUAUAGAUGGAUCCGCGCCGCAUUAGCUAGUUGGUAAGGUAACGGCUUACCAAGGCAACGAUGCGUAGCCGACCUGAGAGGGUGAUCGGCCACACUGGAACUGAGACACGGUCCAGACUCCUACGGGAGGCAGCAGUGGGGAAUAUUCCGCAAUGGGCGAAAGCCUGACGGAGCAACGCCGCGUGAGUGAUGAAGGUCUUCGGAUCGUAAAGCUCUGUUAUUAGGGAAGAACAAAUGUGUAAGUAACUAUGCACGUCUUGACGGUACCUAAUCAGAAAGCCACGGCUAACUACGUG